GGAAACAGAUGCUAAUACCGCAACUAAAACCCAACACCGCAUGGUGUAGGUUGAAAGAUGGUUUCGGCUAUCACUUUAGGAUGGACCCGCGGUGCAUUAGUUAGUUGGUGAGGUAAAGGCUCACCAAGACCGUGAUGCAUAGCCGACCUGAGAGGUAAUCGGCCACACUGGGACUGAGACACGGCCCAGACUCCUACGGAGGCAGCAGUAGGGAAUCUUCCACAAUGGACGAAAGUCUGAUGGAGCAACGCCGCGUGAGUGAAGAAGGUUUUCGGAUCGUAAAACUCUGUUGUUGGAGAAGAAUGUAUCUGAUAGUAACUGAUCAGGUAGUGACGGUAUCCAACCAGAAAGCCACGGCUAACUACGUG
rnacentral:rRNA from 1 species